GGUUGGACCCAGAGGGCCCUCACUCGGUAAUGAUCUUUCCGUAGGUGAACCUGCGGAAGGAUCAUUACCGAGUGAGGGCCCUCUGGGUCCAACCUCCCACCCGUGUUUAUUCUACCUUGUUGCUUCGGCGGGCCCGCCUCACGGCCGCCGGGGGGCACCCGCCCCCGGGCCCGCGCCCGCCGAAGACACCAUUGAACUCUGUCUGAAGAUUGCAGUCUGAGCAGAUUAGCUAAAUCAGUUAAAACUUUCAACAACGGAUCUCUUGGUUCCGGCAUCGAUGAAGAACGCAGCGAAAUGCGAUAAGUAAUGUGAAUUGCAGAAUUCAGUGAAUCAUCGAGUCUUUGAACGCACAUUGCGCCCCCUGGUAUUCCGGGGGGCAUGCCUGUCCGAGCGUCAUUGCUGCCCUCAAGCACGGCUUGUGUGUUGGGCUUCGCCCCCCGGCUCCCGGGGGGCGGGCCCGAAAGGCAGCGGCGGCACCGCGUCCGGUCCUCGAGCGUAUGGGGCUUCGUCACCCGCUCUGUAGGCCCGGCCGGCGCCCGCCGGCGACCCCAAUCAAUCUUUUCAGGUUGACCUCGGAUCAGGUAGGGAUACCCGCUGAACUUAAGCAUAUCAAUAAGCG
rnacentral:rRNA from 1 species